rnacentral:ncRNA from 10 species
UCCCUGGUGGUCUAGUGGCUAGGAUUCGGCGCUUUCACCGCCGCGCCCCGGGUUCGAUUCCCGGCCAGGAAU